GGAUCAAUGAUGACAACAAAAAGUCAUGAAGAGAGAUGAUGAUAUAAAAAUCAUGCUCAAUAGGAUUAUGCUGAGGCCC